GAUCAUCGGCCCGGCCACGGGAGGCUUCGGGGUCAGCCUGUUCGAUCAGGCGGCGCCGGUCUAUGGCAUAGCCGCGGGCAUGCUGGUGAUCAGCGCGCUGCAGUACGCGCGGAUGAACCCGGCGCCGGUGGCGGUUAAGCGGGAAAAGAUGACCGCGGAAUCGCUGCUCGCCGGUCUGCGUUUCAUCCAUGGCAACAAGGUAAUUCUCGCCGCGAUCACGCUCGACAUGGUCGCGGUGCUGCUCGGCGGAGCGACCGCUUUGCU
rnacentral:misc_RNA from 1 species